rnacentral:snoRNA from 2 species
CUUGAAGUGAUGAUUAUUUCCCGAGAUGAUCUAAGUUGAUUAUAAUGAGCGCAUUUAUUUAAAUUCCCUUUUAUAAAAAAGAAUCCAAGCCAGAAAUCUGAGCAAG